AAAAUGCAAAACAAGCUCACAUAAAAGGUCUCACGCUGUAAUGGCUUCUGGUUCGCUUGGAUCUUCUGCAGAUCAGUGUCAUGGUGCUAGUCCAGCGGUGCUCUGGCUUCCCAUUGAUCUUUUUCUAGAAGAUAUCAUGGACGGGUCACAAGUAGCAGUUACAAGUGCUGCUGAAACACUCACUGGUUUAGUGAAGGCUCUGCAGGCAGUUAACUCUUCACCUUGGAAGGACACUUUCCUUGGGUUAUGGAUUGCAGCCCUAAGGCUUGUUAAUAGAGAACGGGAUUCAAGUGAGGGACCAGUACCUCGCUUGGAUACUUGCUUAUGUGUGUUGUUGUCUAUAACACCACUAGCAAUAGUGAAUCUUCUUGAAGAGGAGGAGAUGAAUUGCAGCUCUACCAAUCAAAGGAAAGAGUCAU
rnacentral:misc_RNA from 1 species